rnacentral:rRNA from 1 species
CUCGCCGUCGUAUACAGCCUAACACAUGCAAGUCGAACGGUACACAGAGAGCUUGCUCUUGUGUGACGAGUGGCGGACGGGUGAGUAAUGUCUGGGAAACUGCCCGAUGGAGGGGGAUAACUACUGGAAACGGUAGCUAAUACCGCAUAACGUCUUCGGACCAAAGUGGGGGACCUUCGGGCCUCACACCAUCGGAUGUGCCCAGAUGGGAUUAGCUAGUAGUGGGGUAAUGGCUCACCUAAGCGACGAUCCCUAGCUGGUCUGAGAGGAUGACCAGCCACACUGGAACUGAGACACGGUCCAGACUCCUACGGGAGGCAGCAGUGGGGAAUAUUUGCACAAUUGGGCGCAAGCCUGAUUGGCAGCCAUGCCGCGUGUAUGAAGAAGGCCUUCGGGUGUAACAGUACUUUCAGCGGGGCAGGAAGGCGAUNGUNGGGUUAAUAACCGCAUCGAUUGACGUUACCCGCCAGAAGAAGCACCGGGCUAAACUCCGUGCCCAGCAGCCCGCGGGUAAAUACGUGAGGGGUGCAAGCGUUANAUCGGAA